rnacentral:rRNA from 1 species
GAGUUUGAUCUUGGCUCAGAUUGAACGCUGGCGGCAGGCCUAACACAUGCAAGUCGAGCGGUAGAGAGAAGCUUGCUUCUCUUGAGAGCGGCGGACGGGUGAGUAAUGCCUAGGAAUCUGCCUGGUAGUGGGGGAUAACGCUCGGAAACGGACGCUAAUACCGCAUACGUCCUACGGGAGAAAGCAGGGGACCUUCGGGCCUUGCGCUAUCAGAUGAGCCUAGGUCGGAUUAGCUAGUUGGUGAGGUAAUGGCUCACCAAGGCGACGAUCCGUAACUGGUCUGAGAGGAUGAUCAGUCACACUGGAACUGAGACACGGUCCAGACUCCUACGGGAGGCAGCAGUGGGGAAUAUUGGACAAUGGGCGAAAGCCUGAUCCAGCCAUGCCGCGUGUGUGAAGAAGGUCUUCGGAUUGUAAAGCACUUUAAGUUGGGAGGAAGGGCAGUAAAUUAAUACUUUGCUGUUUUGACGUUACGACAGAAUAAGCACCGGCUAACUCUGUGCCAGCCGCC